GUGCUCUCUUCAGCAGCGCAUAUACUAAAAUUGGAACGAUACAGAGAAGAUUAGAUUAGCAUGGCCCCUGCGCAAGGAUGACAUGCGAAUUCAUGAAGCAUUCCAUAUUUAA